rnacentral:rRNA from 1 species
AACGGCUGAACCAGCAACUUGGAGGAAUGUAUAGCAAUAGCUAGUUGUGUAAAGGCAACAUCAACGUAGUUGAAUAAAGUUCUGAGCAUAUCUAGAUGAUGACUUAAUAUGCUCACGUGUCUUGACCAAAUUGCGUGCCAGCAGUCGCGGUAAGACGUAUAAGACUAGUGUUAUUCAUCUUUAGUAGGUUUAAAGGGUACUUAGACAUCGAAUCAAGCCGUUAGGGACUAAUUUGAUAGAGUUAUAUGUGAGGGGGCUUGGAAGUACUAGUGGAGUAGAGAUAAAAUGUUACUAUACCUCAUUUUGAAAGAAUGGAAUGGCACUGAUAAAGGCGAAAGCAUCCCCUUAUGUGAUAGCUUUGGAUCGCGAACAGGAUUAGAUACCCUGAUAGUCAAAGCAGAGAAUGAUGAGUGUCAUAGAUUAUUUUAGUCUAUAAAUGAAAGUGUAAGCACUCCACCUUAAGAGUAACGUGGCAACACCGAAAUUGAAAUCAUUAGACCGUUUCUGAAACCAGUAGUGAAGUAUGUUGUUUAAUUUGAUGAUCCGCAAAAAACCUUACCAUGAAUAUUUACAAGCGUUGCACGGCUGUCUUAAGUUAAUGUCGUGAGAAUUUGGUUAGAUCCAUUAAAUUGACGUAAACCCUCGUUUUACUUAUAUGUAGAACGGUUCACCGCUAUAUUGGAUAUGAUUAUAGGGAUAAGACAAGUCAUCAUG